AAUAUUUUAAGUCUGUCCACGUCUUCUGUGUUCUGGACAGAUGUUAUGUUCUAUCGUUCACUGGUCUCAUACCACUGCCCAGUACACAGAGAACAUAUAAAGCCACCGCCUCAAGCACUAUCUGCUUAUAUACGUUGCUUAGCUGUUAGCACCACCAUGGACAUCAGUUUGGUAUUACUAGCUGAUUCAUCUCUUGAUCUUGCUACUUUCAAGCCACGCUUCUACCUUCUUUGAUUCCUUUCCCUCAAAAUUUCUAGAAUUCCCGUUUUCGUUUGCUUUCAUAAAAUAAAACCUCCAAAAUCUUGAAACAAAGCAGAGAAAUAAAGAAACGAUCUUCGUCAUGGUUUUCCCGAAAUCAACCCCUUUCACUUGCUCCUGUGUCAGUGAUGGCCAUAGUUUGUCGGUUGUUGAAAUUGGGUGUUCCAUGGUUGUCUCUUCUCUUCCCUCUGUUAGCACCACCAUUGUUUUGACCUCUACCUGUUCUCAUUCUCUUUCUGUUUCUCUCUAGAAGCGAUUUCACUAAAGGAUUUCUUUUGAAUUUGUUGGAAUCAUAAUCGGGGAAAAUUGGAUCCCCGUAGUUUCCAUAGACGUUACCACCGCCACCUCCGAUCAAUCUACCUCCACUCCGGGCUCAAUUCGUCAUCCCGUUUUACCUUCUUUUCGUUGAUUUUAUGAGGCUGCCAACAAGCAAAGAUCAUCUGCCAAUUUCAAUUAUCUGCGAGGUUGUUAAUUUUCUAGAUACCCCUUUCACCACACACUGAAAUGCUCUCUAAAAUGUCACAGUUUUUCAGAAGAUGAAGACACAGAUGCGAUAAAAAUGGAGGAAAAUGGAAGUAGGGGUUAAUAUCUGAUUUCAAGUCUCGAACCCUAAAACAUCACCUUUGAUUGUUUUAAGAUUGCAAAGGGCGCCAUCAUGCUUAGAAUGUUUGAAAUUUAUGCCAUAAGAUGAAACUGCAAAAGAACCAAUCUUAUUAUCUUGUACAAACAGAUAAUUGACAUCCUAUACCCACUUAAAGACAUUCUAUGAGCUGGUGUUUUGUUCAAAUGUUUGAAGAAUCUUUCACUAACUUCAGAUGUGUACAUGUCUUUUAGCAUAAAACAAUCUCAUUUUAUUUUUGUGGAUCAGGCCUGAAGAUUUCGAAAAACCAAAGCAUAUAAAAUUUUACAAAUCUGUAUUAACAUGUGAGAAAGCACCCAUAUCAAUUGCACUAUUAUCAAAGCUCUUCCUUUUUCUUUUACUCUUCAAGUUCUUUAUCCACAAUUACUCUUGGCAAUAUAUUAUAGUAACUGAUUUCUAUUGUGGUUAUUAUGUGUUGUAGGUGUAUGAGGUAUGCUGUAGGAGGAGAAAACCCUUAUACGUAUUGCCAUAUCAUCUUCAGAUUUUGAUAACAUUUUGGGUGGUGGAAUAAGUUGCAAGGAAGUCAUUGAAAUUGGUUUGUUGUUUAGAGAUACGUUUUCUUUUUGUUUACUUCAACCACAUAUGCUAAUAUUCCAACUUUUCUCCCAUUUUUGUUUUCUGAUUAUCUGGAGUUCCAGGCAUUGGUAAAACACAAUUUAGGUAUACUAUAAUGUUGAUAUAGCCUGUUAAGUUGACUCAACAACAAUUUCAGAAAUUUGUGAACAUCUUAUAUUGGUUUGUCAUUAUUUUAAAUCCAUCUAUUAUUAUUUUUGAUUAACAAGAAUAUAGUUAACUUAUGAAUGAAUACAUGACAUCUGUGAAGUAAAAUUACAGGGAAAACGUCCUCAUUCAGUUUGAAAAUUUUCCUAACCACAACAUGUUUAAUCUUUUGGUUUUAACGAUGAUAUCCAUGUACCAAAUAUAAGAGCAAAUAUUUGUAACUUUUUUUACUUUUUAUUUUUAAUAAUUUUUAUUAAUUUUUCAUGUGACAAAACCAUUAUCGUUCAUUAUUGAGACAAGUAAUUGUAUUUUACAGAAGAUAUUCAGAUAUUAGUUAUGGAAACUUUUGAUUCUGAAAUCUGGAUUAAACGAUAUAUUUAUUAUUUUUCAAAAUUUUAAAUGAUGUUAUGAUAUUUUAGGAAGCUUGCAUUUAUUUAUUAUUUUCCAAAAUUUACAUGAUGUUAUGAUAUUUUAGGAAGCUUGCAUUGCAUUACAUGCCAACAAAUGGUCCAAGUGCUUGGAAGAACCAUGUACCCUCUAUAAUAUUGUAACGCCCGUUUUUCAGGCUGGUCAUUAUUGUUGAUGUAAUAGUCUAGGUUAACCAUUGUAACUCUUUUUGAAGUAUUAAUGAUGAAAUAUUUGAGUAUUCUGUGAA